rnacentral:lncRNA from 1 species
UUACCUCUUUCUGCUCUGAAGUUGAAUCUCCGAUAUAUGUUCUUAGUCCCAAUCUGUUCUCAAGCAUCUUUGGGGCUUUUUGUGUUCCUUCACUUGAGGUUAGGCAACUGUCAAGGGAGGAGUUGGGUGGAUAAGUUGUUUGCAUCUGUUGAUGGCGUAGAUUCUGGACUUCUUUCGCUUCUAGGAAACUAGAGUCUGGAUAUUCUGCUGACACCUUAGAUACUAAUUCUGAGAGUUGAGCUUUUGUUGCUUCAAUCCCAGCUGCACCUAGGUUCUGUCUUCCAAGAGUCUCUUGUGCUUUCUCCAGAAUCGAUUGCAGGUACUUUCCUUGAGCCUCUAUCCUGAGCUGCAAAUGUCGCUGUACCUGGCUCAGUUUAAAAUAUUUUUAAUAAAAUCGUAACUAUAUGCUUUGUUCUCUCUCUUUCUAUAUGGUUGAUCUAGCCUCUAUUGAUGCUCUAUUAUACACUAUACUAAUGAUUUUUUAAUAGAUUUAUGUGUUUCUACAUGCUUUUGCACUGUUGUUACUAACACUGAUAGCUGCUUUAAACAGAGUAAAUCCACAGAGUACAGUUUAUGAUACCUCAAGCUGCUCGUGUAGCCUCCUCUGAACUUCUAUUUGCAUUUGAAGCGCAUCACUUAUGGGUAAGUUCCUGAUUGCACAAAUAUUGGUCAUUUUUUUCUAAAAAUGCAAUACGUUAGAAUAUAUAAGCAAAUAGCCAUAUUCUUACAUGCUCGGCUGUGGUCCAAUGCUUAAACUCUCACUGUGACCUUCGUCUGCUUCAGGGAGGUUUUCUUCUACCAUGGUCAUCACACCUAAACCAGGUGACUUUAGUUACUUGAGAGAUAUAUUUUGGAGACAGGAAAAUGAGUCUUUAGAUUGAAAUAUUCUUGUAUCUGAGUUAUGAAUAACUAAGCUUACUUGUCUUGUUUAAACCACUGCUAGCUUGUCCAUUAAGAUUCUUGCUCAGCCUAUAUUUCUGGUAGUCAAAUCAUGUUAUCAAUAAUCUUUGUAAAAGCUUAAACAAAUAUUACAGAUCUUUCACUUCUUGACUUAUCACCAUUCUUGUUUUUCGUUAACAGUUUUUCUACCAAGGAAAUUCAUCAACGAGUCAUAUGUAGAAACCUGAUGAGGUUAGGCAUAUCUGUUUAAAGUGUUGAUAGAUUACCUGAAGAUGACUCUUGAGAUGGUAUAAGGUAAGGCCUGGAAUACCCAUGACUUUCAUGAUUGUCUUAGGAGUAGCUUCUGCAGAGGUAAAAGUAUAAACAUUAAUACAUCAUGUCUAAAAGCCUGAAUGUCAAAGAUGGUUCAUUUGCUAAUAAUAUAACGUACUAUCUCCUCCUCCAAGCUGGUUGACCGCUUCAACAAAUCGUUCGUGAAGAUCUGGAGUCCAUUUUAGCCGUGGCUUUGCAUCGGUUGAGAGGAUGAGUCC